rnacentral:rRNA from 1 species
AGCGAACGCUGGCGGCAGGCCUAACACAUGCAAGUCGAACGAACUCUUCGGAGUUAGUGGCGCACGGGUGAGUAACACGUGGGAACGUGCCUCUAGGUUCGGAAUAACUCAGGGAAACUCGUGCUAAUACCGAAUGUGCCCUUCGGGGGAAAGAUUUAUCGCCUUUCGAGCGGCCCGCGUCUGAUUAGCUAGUUGGUGAGGUAAAGGCUCACCAAGGCGACGAUCAGUAGCUGGUCUGAGAGGAUGAUCAGCCACAUUGGGACUGAGACACGGCCCAAACUCCUACGGGAGGCAGCAGUGGGGAAUCUUGCGCAAUGGGCGAAAGCCUGACGCAGCCAUGCCGCGUGAAUGAUGAAGGUCUUAGGAUUGUAAAAUUCUUUCACCGGGGACGAUAAUGACGGUACCCGGAGAAGAAGCCCCGGCUAACUUCGUGCCAGCAGCCGCGGUAA